UUUUUAUUAUAUGUAGUUUUUUAUUAGUGCCUUUGCCUCGGUCCGAUUUUUCCCGCUAAGUCACAGAAUGAGUCGCGGCAGGUAGACGGCACUAUAGUAACACAUUCUGAUGGGUUACAGAUUUCUUUGUAACACC